GUAUACUGUAGGUAGGGGUAAAGGAUAGAUAAUAGACAGUAACAGCAGUAUACUGUAUGUAGGGGUAAAGGAUAGAUAAUAGACAGUAACAGCAGUAUACUGUAGGUAGGGGUAAAGGAUAGAUAAUAGACAGUAACAGCAGUAUACUGUAGGUAGGGGUAAAGGAUAGAUAAUAGACAGUAACAGCAGUAUACUGUAGGUAGGGGUAAAGGAUAGAUAAUAGACAGUAACAGCAGUAUACUGUAGGUAGGGGUAAAGGAUAGAUAAUAGACAGUAACAGCAGUAUACUGUAGGUAGGGGUAAAGGAUAGAUAAUAGACAGUAACAGCAGUAUACUGUAGGUAGGGGUAAAGGAUAGAUAAUAGACAGUAACAGCAGUAUACUGUAGGUAGAGG